AUGGAACCACUCCCCCCUGAGCUAUAUCCCCAUUGGGUUGAGUAUUUGAUUGAGCAUUUCUUUCUAGAUCUUACCUAGAUAGAUUUAUCUUGGUCCCCUGAGAGUCAUUUACCCAGUAACUGGUAAUAUUCUUCUCAAUUUGCGAGUAUAUCUUUUGCCUAAUACUCGGUAAAAGUAAUCUAUUAUCCCUACCGGUUUCGUUCCCACGUUUCCCCAGGAAGUUUAUCCUUGAUAUGUUCAUCCUAACCGAUG
rnacentral:lncRNA from 1 species